GUGAGGAAUAUUGCGCAAUGGAGGCAACUCUGACGCAGCCAUGCCGCGUGCAGGAAGAAGGCGCUACGCGUUGUAAACUGCUUUUAACCGGGAAGAAACCCCAGGACGUGUCCUGGGUUGACGGUACCGGAGGAAUAAGCACCGGCUAACUUCGUGCCAGCAGCCGCGGUAAUACGAAGGGUGCAAGCGUUAUCCGGAUUCAUUGGGUUUAAAGGGUGCGUAGGCGGAGCGUUAAGUCAGUGGUGAAAUCCUGCAGCUUAACUGUAGACUUGCCAUUGAUACUGCCGCUCUUGAGUGCGCUUGAAGUGGGCGGAAUGUGCCGUGUAGCGGUGAAAUGCUUAGAUAUGGCACAGAACACCAAUUGCGAAGGCAGCUCACUAAGGCGAUACUGACGCUGAGGCACGAAAGCGUGGGGAUCGAACAGGAUUAGAAACCCCUGUAGUCC
rnacentral:rRNA from 1 species